GCGGGCGUGGCGAAAUUGGUAGACGCGCUAGAUUUAGGUUCUAGUUUCUUCGGAAGUGGGGGUUCAAGUCCCUUCGCCCGCACCA
rnacentral:tRNA from 1 species